rnacentral:rRNA from 1 species
CUCGUAGGCGGUUCGUCGCGUCUGGUGUGAAAGUCCAUCGCUUAACGGUGGAUCCGCGCCGGGUACGGGCGGGCUUGAGUGCGGUAGGGGAGACUGGAAUUCCCGGUGUAACGGUGGAAUGUGUAGAUAUCGGGAAGAACACCAAUGGCGAAGGCAGGUCUCUGGGCCGUUACUGACGCUGAGGAGCGAAAGCGUGGGGAGCGAACA